GAUGAACGCUGGCGGCGUGCUUAACACAUGCAAGUCGAACGAGAAGUGAAGACGGAAACCUUCGGGCGGAAGGCUUUACUUCGAGUGGCGGACGGGUGAGUAACGCGUGGGUAACCUGCCUCAUACAGGGGGAUAACAGUUGGAAACGACUGUUAAUACCGCAUAAGACCACAGCACCGCAUGGUGCGGGGGUAAAAACUCCGGUGGUAUGAGAUGGACCCGCGUUCGAUUAGCCAGUUGGCGGGGUAACGGCCCACCAAAGCGACGAUCGAUAGCCGAUCUGAGAGGAUGACCGGCCACAUUGGGACUGAGACACGGCCCAAACUCCUACGGGAGGCAGCAGUGGGGAAUAUUGCACAAUGGGGGAAACCCUGAUGCAGCGACGCCGCGUGAGUGAAGAAGUAUUUCGGUAUGUAAAGCUCUAUCAGCAGGGAAGAAA
rnacentral:rRNA from 1 species